GAUGAACGCUGGCGGCGUGCCUAAUACGUGCAAGUAGAACGCUGAAGGAGGAGCUUGCUCUUCUGGAUGAGUUGCGAACGGGUGAGUAACGCGUAGGUAACCUGCCUGGUAGCGGGGGAUAACUAUUGGAAACGAUAGCUAAUACCGCAUGACAACAGUUAUUGCAUGAUAACUGUUUAAAAGGGGCAACUGCUCCACUACCAGAUGGACCUGCGUUGUAUUAGCUAGUUGGUGAGGUAACGGCUCACCAAGGCGACGAUACAUAGCCGACCUGAGAGGGUGAUCGGCCACACUGGGACUGAGACACGGCCCAGACUCCUACGGGAGGCAGCAGUAGGGAAUCUUCGGCAAUGGACGGAAGUCUGACCGAGCAACGCCGCGUGAGUGAAGAAGGUUUUCGGAUCGUAAAGCUCUGUUGUAAGAGAAGAACGAGUGUGAGAGUGGAAAGUUCACACUGUGACGGUAUCUUACCAGAAAGGGACGGCUAACUACGUG
rnacentral:rRNA from 1 species